UACGUAGGUGGCAAGCGUUGUCCGGAUUUACUGGGCGUAAAGAGCGCGCAGGCGGUCGUUCAAGUCGCGUGUGAAAGCCCCCGGCUCAACUGGGGAGGGUCACGCGAUACUGAUCGACUCGAAGGCAGGAGAGGGAAGUGGAAUUCCCGGUGUAGUGGUGAAAUGCGUAGAUAUCGGGAGGAACACCAGUGGCGAAGGCGACUUCCUGGCCUGUUUCUUGACGCUGAGGCGCGAAAGCUAGGGGAGCAAACGGG
rnacentral:rRNA from 1 species